rnacentral:rRNA from 1 species
GCGGACGGCUGAGUAACGCGUAGGAACGUACCCCAAACUGAGGGAUAAGCACCAGAAAUGGUGUCUAAUACCGCAUGUGCUCUACGGAGUAAAGCUUCGGCGGUUUGGGAACGGCCUGCGUAUGAUUAGCUAGUUGGUGAGGUAAUGGCUCACCAAGGCUAUGAUCAUUAGCUGGUCUGAGAGGAUGAUCAGCCAGACUGGGACUGAGAACGGCCCAGACUCCUACGGGAGGCAGCAGUAGGGAAUUUUCCACAAUGGGCGAAAGCCUGAUGGAGCAACGCCGCGUGCAGGAUGAAUGCCUUCGGGUUGUAAACUGCUUUUAUAUGUGACGAAUAUGACGGUAGCAUAUGAAUAAGGAUCGGCUAACUCCGUGCCAGCAGCCGCGGUCAUACGGAGGAUCCAAGCGUUAUCCGGAAUUACUGGGCGUAAAGAGUUGCGUAGGUGGCAGGGUAAGUAGAUAGUGAAAGCGUGUGGCUCAACCAUACAUCCAUUAUCUAAACUGCCCAGCUAGAGGACGAGAGAGGUUAUUGGAAUUCCCAGUGUAGGAGUGAAAUCCGUAGAUAUUGGGAGGAACACCGAUGGCGUAGGCAGAUAACUGGCUCGUUCCUGACGCUAAGGCACGAAAGCGUGGGGAGCAAACGGGAUUAGAUACCCCGGUAGUCCACGCCGUAAACUAUGGAUGCUAGCUGUUAUCGGUAUCGACCCCGGUAGUAGCGAAGCUAACGCGUUAAGCAUCCCGCCUGUGGAGUACGGUCGCAAGACUAAAACAUAAAGGAAUUGACGGGGACCCGCAC